rnacentral:lncRNA from 1 species
UCUUUCCUAUAGAUUGCAGCUCCCUUCGCUCUCUCUCUCUGUAAGUCUCCUGCCUUCUACCCUAAUGGUUGCGCGAUCUCCAGAUAUAUUGUGGUAGGAAAACGUGCAUGAGUUUUCUUCUGUGUCAUCAGUAAACGAGGAGGUCAUUUUCACUUUUAUAUAUUUACUGUCAUUACCAUAUGCAUUUAUGUUCACAUUUAUAUAUAUUAUAGUCAUUGCCAUAUGCAUUUACUAGAAAAACUGUAUUAACUUAUUUUUUUAGGAAUUGUUUUAAUAUUUUAGUCUUUUUUCUAAUUUGAAAUAAUGUUUUUUAUAUCUUAGUAUUGACAUAUCUGUUGGAAAAAAUCAACACCAGAGCAGUGUUGGGUCUUUUCUCUGUUCCUAUUGGGAUGAAAGAAUCUAAUGAAGCUCAUGAACUGUUAGCAGUAGUUAAUAGGGAUUAACUUUGCAAUCGCAAGGUUCAAAUUUUAUUGUCGGUGGGUCAGUAGGUUGAUAGGGAUUAAUUUUAAAAAUCAUCUUUGGACUUUCCACAUUUGUAGUUUUCUACUGGAAACGCGUUUUCCACAGGGCAAGUUUGGCACUCAAGUUUUUACCACCAGCCACUGCCCCUCUUCUACAAUAAUCUGAAAUGUUCACUGGCUCACUCGUAGAAAUCUUUGAUGCUGUACGAAGACUACAGGAUACUUUGUGCUAUACAAAUUAUUUAAUUUUACUGUAUUCUUCUACAUUGGUGGUGGCGCGUGAGAAAGACGCGCCGCCACUAUUCACCUGUUCAGAGACCUUCCUCAGCACUCAUGCAGUUUCAAAAAGCUUCCCCAGCUCUGUUAUGGAUUUUUGGGGGGUUUAUUUUGUAAUUUUUAAAUUGUUUAAUAUUUUUGAAUUGUUUAAUGUAUUGUUUUGAUUUAUUUUUAAUUUUGGUGAUUUGUAAGAUGUUAAUAGUGUGUAUGUAAAAAAAAAGAAAAGAAAAGAAAAGAAAAGAAAUAUAAUGAAAGUGUAUGUGUGUGUUUUAUUUUAAUUUUUAUAUAUUUUUUAUGAUAAAAUUGCAAAGAUUAAAGAAGAAUUUAAUAUUUUGAUUGGAUCACGGUCAAGAAUUAUUAACUUAUACGUAAGUUGUAUUUCUGAUAUCCGAUGAAAAGACAAUUAUUAAAACUUCUUUAACACAUCAAAAGCCAUGAAGCAGCUUACCUCAGGUAGGGUGCGUUAGGGGUGCUAAUACCUUCUCUAACCACAACCAGUCCCUUACCCGCGAAUCUCUGACAAGACCAGCACAGUCGGUUUCCUAGUAGCCUUCAAUAAAUUACUAGGUGGCGACUCCCAACGAACCAAUCAAACAAUACGCAUUAACGAGAAAAAUCACCAGCCAAUGCCGCGCGGAUUUUGACGUGCGACAAUUAUUAUAUAAAAACCUUUGAGGAAUUGUUUUUUUCAAUGAUGAAGCUAGCUUUCACUAGCUGUUUUUGGUUUGCCUAUAUAUCAACAUAAAUAAGCAAAUAAAAUGUCAAGAAGCAUGUGAAGCAUGAUUCACAUGUUUAUAAAUAGUAAGAGAACCUAUAAAAAAUCAAAUACAAAUAAUUGGAAGUCCUUUCAAAUAAAAGUUAAAGUCUAUCAAGAAAGGAUAUAAUUAAAUUCCUUAUCAAAUGAAAUCAAAACAAAUAAAAUCUCACCUGUUAAAACUUUCAAGCUCAUAUAAAAAUGUUAUAUCCCUCCAAAAUAAGUUCAAGAUCAAGCAUAGAAGGUUAUAAUAUUCAGAUAUGACUCUUAAUUAGGGAAUUUAUACACCUAAAACAUAUAUAAAGACUUUGAAUAUUACUUAGAAUUCUUAAUAAUCACAAUACUAGGUGUCGAAUUUAAAUCUUUUAAAUUAUAAAAAGGAUAAAAAUACUUUGCUAUUUUCAGACACCUAAAAAUCCAAUCUAGAACAACAAUAACGAUACAACAUACGUGCAACACGACCUCUUACUCUCUCUUUCUAUGGAAGUUUAUAUUUGGUAAAACAGUGUAUAAUGUUUUUUCAAUUGAAAAUAUAUUAAAAUAAUAUAUUUUUUUUAGAUUUUUUAACACCAAUAUAUUAAAAUUAUUAAAGAAAAAUUAAAAAAUUAUUAAUUUAAUACUUUUUUGAUAAAAAAUAAUUUUGAAAGCAGGUUUUUUCUAAAAAAAACACUCCCGAAGUUUUUUUUGCCUUAUGUAUCGAAAAACAAAUAUACUGAGUGAGUGAGGGCUAAAAAGAAGAGAGGGUCAGAAGAUAACUUAGUCAAAAUAAUGUCGGCAAAACGUGCAUGUCAUGUAGUCAUUUUCGGUGAUAGGUCAUUUUCACCAUUAUAUUUUUGUAGUCAUUGAAUAUUUAUGUUGAUAUUUAUAUUUAUAUAUUUAUAGUCACUGUCAUAUAUAUGCAGUUAUGUUCAUGACAGCUAAAUAUAUAUUUAAAAAAAAUGGAUUAACUUACUUUUUAAAAAUUAUAUUAACAUAUUAAUUAGUUUCUUUUGAAAUCAGAGAUACUUUAUAUAUAUAUAUAUCUUCGUAUUGACAUAUAUGAUAUAUUGCCAUAUAUAAAAAAAAUGAUUUUUUAUAAGAAAAUUAUUAUUAUUAUUAUUAUUAUUAUUAGAUAAAAAACAUGAAUAAUGUGUGGACACAUUUUUUUAUGAUAAAAAUAUCCUUAAGUUUUAUUAAUCAUUAAUGUAUUGAAAGGAUUUUAUCCAGCGGUUUUAAAAAAAUUAAUUUUUAUUAUUAAAAAAUAUUUUUUUUAUAUGUUUUUGAUCGUUUUGAUGCGCUGAUUUCAAAAAUAAUUUUUUAAAAAAUUAUUUUGAUGCAUUUCAACAUGAAAAUACUUUAAAAAGCGACUACAAUUAUACUCUCAAACAUGUUAUUUAAUCCCCAAUGCUUAUUUAGAUGAGAAAUUAUCAUUUUGAUGUAUUUUAGCAUGAAAAACAUUUAAAAAAAAAAACGACAACCACAAUCUCAAACAGGUUAUUUAGACCUCAAUGCUUAUUUAGAUGAGAAAUUAUUGUUCUUUAGUCUCUAAAUUAUCUUAUCUAGGGUUAAUUAUAAAAAGCAAAAUAAUCAACAUACAAAUUAGGAUAUAAAAAAUGAUAAGUAAUUAGAUUGAAUUUAAGUUAGAAAUAAACGUCAACCUUGUAAUAAUAAUUUUAGGUAUUUUCAGUGUUUUUUUCAUCUCCAGCUCGUGUUUUCUUUUGCGAUCUGUUGUUUUCACAUUAUUGUCAUAUGCUUCAAUAAUCUUCGCCAGCUCAGAGAUAUAUUGGAAAACGAAUUUAACCUAUUAUUAUUAUUAUUAUUAUUAUUAUUAUUAUAUAAGAAACCUUCGAGGGAUUUUUUUUUUCAAUGAUGAAGCUAGCUUUCACUAGCUGUUUUUGGUGUGCCUAUAUAUCAAGAUAAGUAAGCAAAUAAAAUGUCAAGGACCAUGUGAAGAUCAACUCAUUAUUUUGAUUUAUAGGUGUAUAUAUAUAUAUUGAAAGCAAAAACUUUAUGAUCUCAAGUAAGCAAAUAAAAUAAAUUGGAAAUCAAAAACUUUAUGUUUGUAUGUAAUAAAAUAAAAUAAGAAUUAUAUGUAUUAAUAAAUAUUAAAUAAAUUGUUAACACUAACUAAAAAUUGAGUUGAGAAGUUAAGAUAUAUAUAUAUAUAUAUAUAUAUAUAUAUAUAUAUAUAUAUAUAUAUAUUGUAGUACUGAGUAUGGUUUAAAGUGUUUUUCAUUUAAAAAUACAUCAAAAUAAUUUAUUUAUUUAUUUAUUUUAAAAUAUUAUUUUUAAUAUCAACACAUCAAAAUAAUCUAAAAACAUUAAAAAUUUAAAACUUAAAGAAACACGGUUUAAACCGCAUUCCAAACAGGUCCUAGUAUCUUGUCUACCCAAAAACAUAUGAAAAUGGCUAUAAAUAUAUAAAUGUGAACUUAAAAAUGAUUUCUAAGAGGUCAAGUAUAUUUAUACAUAAUAAUCCCUGUAAACUUAUUAAAUCUUUAUUUUAGCCCUUUAAUGUUGAAUCCUGGAUCCAUCUUUUUUUCUAUCAGCAGAUAGUCUUUUAUAUAUAUAAAAUAAAACCCACCGAUCAACCCACGGAGCAUGUGAAGUUACAAAUUUCAAAUGCAUGAAGGAAGACCCCAUAAUGAAAACGAUGUUUGUUUAUCUUAUAAAUAUAUUUGGAUGCAGCCUUCGCUGGUUCACACUCACCUGCAGACAAAAUUUCCAAGCGUCCUUUGAAGUUGAUGGAAAAAUUGAAUCAAUUGAUAGUGAGAGGGAAAGAUUGUGCAUUUCUUCGUUGUCGUUUAUUCCUUUACAAGACAGAUGCAUUAUUAAAAAAUUGCUUUGAAUCAUUUCCAUCAAUUGUCAAGUAUUUCAUAACAGUAAUUCGAUUCACUUGAAAAACUGGUUUUUCCUAUUCAAUUGCUUAAGCUCUAUUAAAAAACCGGACCGGAUCUAUUUUAGUUCAUAUAUAUAUAUACUUUUUUUAUUUAGUUCUCCGACUCCGGAUGAGUUUGGGCGUCCGGCGCCUCUUUUGAGGACGGGAGGAAAAAACAUAUAUAUCUACACCUUGCACCCUUUUAGGAAAAGAUAAAUCUUUAAGGAAAUAAAUUUUUUUUAUAACAUGUUUAUUAUUUUUAUUAAAACAAUGUAUAUUGAAGAUCAAAACAUAAUAUUUUUUAUAUAAAUAACUUAAUAAUUUCAAGUUUAAUCUCUAAUUUAAUAACAAGUUCAGUGAUAUUAACUUUAAAAUUUAAAAUAUUACAUUUAUAGAAAAAUGCAUGCUAAACAUUUGAAAUAUAACCUAUUUAUAUUUAGUUUGAUCCAUGUGGGACCAUUAAGCCAUAUGAAGAGAGGGGUUUAGCCUAAUUUCUUAGGAGUUUUUAAUAUUUAAUUUGUUUUACAUGGAGAACAAAUAUAGAAAAAAAAAUAUUAGCUUCCCAAAAAUAGUAUUUGAUGAUCUAUCUAGUUUUGAUCAAAUGCUACUACAUGUGCUGUAUAGAUAUAAUUAUGGAUUAAUUGAGCUGAGAAUUUAUAGAUACAAUUGUGACAUAACAACGAUUUAUAAUCUAAAAUAGUAAAGAUUAAAUUUAGAACAACCUAACUAGUGUUCUGUGCCCUAUUAAAACAUCAGGUUUUUGGAGUAUUCUGAAUUAGUUUGUGAUUUCUCCUAACAAAGAUGAAACUCUUUUAGUAGAUAACUAGAACACGUUCCUAUAUGAUAAACUUGAAUAUUAUAUGCUUGGAAAACUGCACAUAAUUAUAAAAUGUUUUUAAUAAAGCAUUUGAUGACUUUGAGAUGCCAAGAUGAAACUUAAUCAACAAAUCACUUAAACACGUUACAACUAGUUUUUUUUUUUUAAAAAAAAAAAACUAGUUGUUCCUUGUUUGGGUACAAUCUGAUUAUUUUUUUUUAAUUUCUUUUGUAAUACUGUUGGUCAUUUUUAUUAGAUAUGUAGCUAGUUCUCCUAAAUAAAUUAGUAUGGGUAAUUAAAGUGACUGCAAAGGGUAUUGAUACCGAUAAUCACUUGUUCACCACCGCUAAUCAAGUCUUGCUCUCUAGCUAUCUUAAUACCCAUAUAAAUCUAAAGUCGAAGCUCUGAUCAUUUCACAGCAGGUUCAAUGAAAUUAACAACAAAAUUGAUUACAAAUGUUUAUAUAUGCUGGAUAACUAAAACAUAAUUAAGCAAACCAACUUUUUUAAAAAUAAAAAUAAAUAGAACCACCUAUUGUCUGCAGAGCUUAAACCAAAUCCAAAACUAAACAUUUCGAAAAACUAAACAUUUCAAAGAGCAGAACAAGUUAGUGCUGACCUGAGGACGGAGAUCAGAGGACCGUGUCUGUAAAUAGAGUCCCUAGCCGCGAGCCUCUUCCUAUAUAUAUAUUGCAGCACCUCUCUCUCCCCCCCCCCCCCCCCCCCCCCUCUCUCUAAGUCUCUUGCCUUGUCUCUCUCCCUCUCUCUCUAUCUCUCUAAGUCUCUUGCCUUGUCUACCCAGAUGCACAAGACAAUGGCUAUAAUUAAGGGACUUAAUUCUAUAUGCUCUCUAGAUUCAAGCCUGGCAAGGGCGG